AGGCACACGUUCCCGUACGAUCACCGAAGUUAAACAACGCCGUGCCUAGUCAGAACCUAGACGGGUGACCGCUUGGGAACACCAGGUGUUGAAA